CCCAGGUUUGCAGGUACAGGGUAGACCAGGAGGUCGGCAAGAGUAUUGAAGUCUCGUCUAUGUAAUAGAUAGUGUGGACAUGAUAAAUGUAUUUCAUGUUAUGUAAAAGUACAGUUUAGACAUGUAAUGUAAUGAGGCUUAUGGAUGAUAGAGGUGUGCUUGACCAUAGAAUAUUGUUAUCCCUUUUCAUACAUGAUCUUAGAUGUCUUAUGACGUUUAUGUAAACCAACUCAACUUAUGUUGUAUCGCCCAUUGGGGCAUUGAUGAGAUCCCACAGAGGGGUCAAUGUUUAUGAUUAUGUCUAUGUUCAGUGCAUGCACAUGUUGAGUUUGGUGUAUGAGAGAAUGUAUGAAAGAAAAGUUUUAAUUUUUAUGUAUAUUCUUGAUCAUGUAUGGGAUUAAGCAGGUUUACAGGUUUUAUGUCAGGCUUGCUACGGGUUCCGGCGGCUUUAAGCCGACCUGGAUCCUAGCGCCGGUAGCGGUCCGAUUUUCGGGUCGUUACAGAGAAUUAAUAAAUGAUUUGGUUAUUCUUGGAGUUAUUAAUAUUGGAUUCUAUAUUGAUGUUGAAAGAGUUAAAUUUUAAUUUUGAAAAAAUAAUUAAUUAUAAAGUGUUAAGGAGAAUGAGUAAUAUGUUUCGACGAAGGAGUAAAAAUAAAGAGAGAAAAUGUAGAAAUUGGAGUAAAUAUUUAGGCUUAAUGGGUAUUUUUAAAUUAUUUGUGAUAUGUAAUAUAAAUUAUUGAGUAUUAUUGGGCCUUUGAAAUUUUUAGGAAAGGUCCAAUUUAUGUCAAAAUGUUACCCAAUUUAUUUUAGAAUUUUCAAAAAUGAAUUAUAUAUUUUAUAGACUAAAUUACAACUAAGAUCUUGAUAUUUAACAACUCACGUAUAUGUAAUACCCGGCUAGACUCCGGUAUCGGAAUCCCUACCGUCUGGUCUGAUCUCGGAUAUCGGAAACCUCUAGAAGGGAAAAAAAAACCAUGUUUUUAUAAAAUGUUUUAAUGUAUUUUAUGAUUUUAAAUAAAAAGGAAGUUGAAUUUUAAUGGAAAUAGCCUUGGAGGAAGAUGCAGGUUCGGCCGCCGAACCUCAAGUUCGGCCGCCGAACAUGCAUGUGUUUCGGGUGUGCCUUAGGCCCCCGAAGGCAUAAGUGAGGAAAACCAGGUUCGGCCGCCGAACCUUAUGUUCGGCCGCCGAACAUGGCAUGUAUGCGGAGGCACGUUCGGCUCCCGAAUGUGGCCUGGCCAACCACUUAUAAGGGGGUCCCUUAGCCGAAAACGGGCGAGCUUUUCUCCCCAUUUUCGGCCAAGGUGAGCUCUCCGCCGUCCCUCACCGAUCUUGAGUUUCUUCCUUCAAAUCUUUCACGAUUUUCACAAGUUUUCACUUUGUUUUGAAGAUUUUCGAACAUAAAGCAAGUUUUGGAGCUUUGAGGUUCAAGAAACUCAAUCUCUUCCAUCUCCGAGCUAGGGUCGUUUUCCUCUCGAUCUUCAAGAGGUAAGGGCCGAUCUUGAGCUCACUGCAUGUUUUGAACAAGUUUUAAGUUGAUCUAUGGGGUAGAAAUGCAUGUUUAGGUUUUGGUUGGUUUUAUGGGUUAUGUUAAGUUUUUGAGCAAUGUAUGAUGUUUGAGGUUGCUUGAUGUGUUGUAGUUGGGGUUUAAGAUAGUUUGAAGUAGGAGCUUGUAUGCUUGAGUAUGCAUGUUGUAGAUCAGGUUUAUGCAUGUUUGAAAGGUUUGGGAGGCGUUUGUGCAUGUUGGAGUUGAGUUUCUGCCACUUUGGAGAAACUCAGGUUCGGCCGCUGAAUGGACUUUCGGCCGCCGAACCCGCUUGUGGAGGCAGCCUUUGGCUGCCGAAGCCUGCCCCCGAAAGAGGACUUUCGUCUCUGGAGGGCAGUUUCGGCCUCCGAAAGUGCCGCCGAACAUGCAUGAGUUUCGUCUCUGUCUGGGAGUUUCGGCCGCCGAAGGUGCCGCCGAACCUGCCUGACUUUCGGCUUUGGAGGGACUUUCGGCCGCCGAACCUGCCGCCGAAAGUGCCCUGUUCAGCCUUCCUUUGCAUGUUUCCUAUGAUUGUUUUAAGGUGUUUUAAAGGGUUUUUGGGGAGUAUUUCAGAGUCUUGAUCAUAGAUGUUUGGUCCCUCAUUUGAGUCCACCUGUGUAGGUUCGGACCCGAGGAACCGAGGACCCCAGCAGUGAGUCGGUCGCCUCAGAGUCAGUAGAGCUUCAGCCAGAGGUGAGUGAAAUAAACUCUUUAUGUUUUUAAGUAAAUAAAUUAAUUCUUAGCAUGAUUCACGCAUCAUGAAUACCAUGAGAUAUAUUAGGUUGUUUGCAUUAGAAUUCACGAAUAUGUUGCAUUGCAUAAUAUGUUGAAGAUGUGGAUGAAUGUUGAAUGAUCCUUUAGCCCUCCCAUGAUAUGAUAUGGUAUGAUAUGAUACGGUACGGAAGACCAGUGAGGCCCAUUCUACGCCCCUGGCACUAUGUGAGAGAAAGACCAGCGAGGCCCAUUCUACGCCCCUGGCACAGUUGGAAUGUUAUGUUAUGAUAUGUUAUGUAAGAGAAAGACCAGUGAGGCCCAUUCUACGCCCCUGGCACAGUUGGACCACUUUGAGGGCUAUGGGUGACAAAUUCAUCCUUGAUGUGAUAUGAUUGUGAUGUGAUGCAUUCCAUGUUAUCAUAUGUUUUAAAUGUUUUAUUAUUCUGCUCACUGGGCUUUAUAGCUCACCCUUCUCCCUUAACCCCCAGGUUUGCAGAUACAGGGUAGACCAGGAGGUCAGCAAGAGUAAUGAAGUCUUGGUUAUGUAAUAGAUAGUGUGGACAUGAAUAAUGUUGAGAUGUUAUGUUUAGUACAGUCAUGUAUAAAUACAGUAUAGAAAUGUAAUGUAAUGAUGUUCAUGGAUGUUAAAGGUGUGCUUGACCAUAGAAUGUUGUUAUCCCUUUUAAUACAUGAUCUUAGAUGUUUUAUGAUGUUUAUGUAAACCAACUCAACACAUGUUAUGUCACCCAUUGGGCAUUGAUGAGAUCCCAAAGAGGGGUCAAUGUUUAUGGUUAUGUUUAUGUAUAGUGCAUGCACAGGUUGAGUUUGGUAAAGGAAUGAAAGAAAAGUUCAAAAUUUUUAUGUAUGUUGUUGAUCAUGUAUGGGAUUAAACAGGUUCACAGGAUGAAUGUUAGGCUUGCUACGGGUCCCGACGGCCUUAU
rnacentral:lncRNA from 1 species